rnacentral:lncRNA from 1 species
AUGGUGAAUGUGUUAUAGUUAUGCAGAUUAGAGCUUUUUUAUUGGUUGCAAUGUAAGGAUAAGAAAUAAGCAAAAAUAUAUUUUAUAUCUUUGAUAUUAUUUAAUAGGAAAUCAAACAUAGUUUGCUACAAGUAAGUACAUCUAAUUUGAAAAAAGAAUCUUCUAACUUUAAGCAAUGAAUUUUUUUUCUUUGGUGAUCCAACUGAUAUGUGUGAAAGUUCAAUUGUUUCAGCAU